AACGAACGCUGGCGGCAUGCCUAACACAUGCAAGUCGAACGAGACCUUCGGGUCUAGGGGCGCACGGGGGCGUAACGCGUGGGAACCUGCCCGUAGGUUCGGAAUAACUCCCCGAAGGGGGUGCUAAUACCGGAGAAUGUCUUCGGACCAAGGAUUUAUCGCCUUUGGAUGGGCCCGCGUUGGAUUAGCUAGUUGGUAGGGUAAAAGCCUACCAAGGCGACGAUCCAUAGCUGGUCUGAGAGGAUGAUCAGCCACACUGGGACUGAGACACGGCCCAGACUCCUACGGGAGGCAGCAGUGGGGAAUAUUGGACAAUGGGCGAAAGCCUGAUCCAGCAAUGCCGCGUGAGUGAUGAAGGCCUUAGGGUUGUAAAGCUCUUUUACCCGGGAUGAUAAUGACAGUACCGGGAGAAUAAGCUCCGGCUAACUCCGUG
rnacentral:rRNA from 1 species